UACGAAGGGGGCUAGCGUUGCUCGGAAUUACUGGGCGUAAAGGGCGCGUAGGCGGCACUGUUAGUCAGGCGUGAAAUUCCUGGGCUCAACCUGGGGACUGCGCUUGAUACGGCAGAGCUAGAGGAUGGAAGAGGCUCGCGGAAUUCCCAGUGUAGAGGUGAAAUUCGUAGAUAUUGGGAAGAACACCGGUGGCGAAGGCGGCGAGCUGGUCCAUUACUGACGCUGAGGCGCGACGGCGUGGGGAGCAAACAGG
rnacentral:rRNA from 1 species